rnacentral:rRNA from 1 species
UACGUAGGGUGCAAGCGUUGUCCGGAUUCAUUGGGCGUAAAGAGCGUGUAGGCGGCCAGGUAGGUCGGUUGUGAAAACUGGAGGCUCAACCUUCAGACGUCGAUCGAAACCAUCUGGCUAGAGUCCGGGAGAGUAGAGUGGAAUUCCUGGUGUAGCGGUGAAAUGCGCAGAUAUCAGGAAGAACACCCGUGGCGAAAGCGGCUCUCUGGAACGGUACUGACGCUGAGACGCGAAAGCGUGGGGAGCGAACAGG